GUCCGCGCCCUAAACGAUGGAUACUAGUUGUCGGGAUUCCUAAUAGUCUCGGUAACGAAGCAAACGCAUUAAGUAUCCCGCCUGGGGAGUACGGUCGCAAGAUUAAAACUCAAAGGAAUUGACGGGGCCCGCACAAGCGGUGGAGCAUGUGGUUCAAUUCGAUGCUACGCGAAGAACCUUACCUGGGCUUGACAUCCCACGCUAGCCUGUGAAAGCAGGGGUUCCCUUCGGGGACGUGGUGACAGGUGCUGCAUGGCUGUCGU
rnacentral:rRNA from 1 species